UCGGCUCACGUCAUUGCGAUGGACGAUUCCAGUCUUCUGGUGCUCCGGCGCGAGGACUUCCACGCCCGGCUUCGCAACUCACCCGAGGUGGCCAUCUCUCUGCUCAAGGAGAUUUCGCGACGUCUCCGGCGAGCCGAUGAAAAGAUCGGCAGCCUCGUGUUGCUCGACGUAAACGGACGCGUCGCCCACCUGCU
rnacentral:misc_RNA from 1 species